CCUACGGGCGGCUGCAGUCGAGAAUCAUUCACAAUGGGGGAAACCCUGAUGGUGCGACGCCGCGUGGAGGAUAAGGUCUUCGGAUUGUAAACUCCUGUCAUGUGAGAGUAAGGGUUUGCAGGUAACUCUGUAAAUUUUGAUAGUAUCACAAGAGGAAGAGACGGCUAACUCUGUGCCAGCAGCCGCGGUAAUACAGAGGUCUCAAGCGUUGUUCGGAAUCACUGGGCGUAAAGGGUGCGUAGGCGGCGUGGAAAGUCAGAUGUGAAAUCCGGGGGCUCAACCUCCGAAUUGCAUCCGAUACUACCAUGCUAGAGAACUGGAGGGGAGUCUGGAAUUCUUGGUGUAGCAGUGAAAUGCAUAGAUAUCAAGAGGAACACUAGUGGCGAAGGCGAGACUCUGGACAGUAUCUGACGCUCAUGCACGAAGGUCAGGGUAGCGAACGGGAUUAGAUACCCCGGUAGUC
rnacentral:rRNA from 1 species